GACGAACGCUGGCGGCGUGCCUAAUACAUGCAAGUCGAACGCUUUUUCUUUCACCGGAGCUUGCUCCACCGAAAGAAAAAGAGUGGCGAACGGGUGAGUAACACGUGGGUAACCUGCCCAUCAGAAGGGGAUAACACUUGGAAACAGGUGCUAAUACCGUAUAACACUAUUUUCCGCAUGGAAGAAAGUUGAAAGGCGCUUUUGCGUCACUGAUGGAUGGACCCGCGGUGCAUUAGCUAGUUGGUGAGGUAACGGCUCACCAAGGCAACGAUGCUAAGCCGACCUGAGAGGGGGAGCGGCCACACUGGGACUGAGACACGGCCCAGACUCCUACGGGAGGCAGCAGUAGGGAAUCUUCGGCAAUGGACGAAAGUCUGACCGAGCAACGCCGCGUGAGUGAAGAAGGUUUUCGGAUCGUAAAACUCUGUUGUUAGAGAAGAACAAGGAUGAGAGUAACUGUGCACGUCUUGACGGUACCUAAUCAGAAAGCCACGGCUAACUACGUGCCAGCCGCCGCCGUAA
rnacentral:rRNA from 1 species